rnacentral:lncRNA from 1 species
ACUCUGGGAGUUCCCGAUGUGGCUCAGCAGUAAUGGAACUGACUAAUAUCCAUGACGCAGAUUCGAUCCCUGGCCUCACGCAGUGGGUUAAGGAUCCAGCGUUGCCAUGAACAGUGGUUUAGGUCACAGAUGCUUCGAAAAUCAGCAAUACAAAUGGACAGCUUUGCCCUGAAAGGCCUGUUUCCUUCAGCGAAGAUCAUGCCUCUGAAGGCUCUCACCUGGGGCCACCCAGACAGGCUGCUCGGGAACCUGGCCUCCGGGUGUGUGAUGGGAUUUUCCACCUCUUCCGCCCAGCCCAUGCCCGGCACAGCUUGGGCACACAGCCAAUGCCCCAAGGUCCCUUACCCUCUAUCUUAGCCUCCCUACCUGGCCUCUGGGUGUGCGAUGGGAUUUUCCACCUCUUCCGCCCAGCCCAUGCCCAGCACAGCUUGGGCACACAGCCAAUGCCCCAAGGUCCCUUACCCUCUAUCUUAGCCUCCCUUGGCCCCCCAGGCAGUAGGUCUCAGCUUAGGGGCAGCAGAAAGCACUGGUCCACUGGGCCUGGGGCAGAGUGCUUCCUUUCUCAGCCUGGACACACCCACUGGGGGCUGGGGCCCUCACGUCCCCGCCCCUGCCGCCCAGUGCCGGCCCCUCCCUGGAGGAAGCCGCAGACGGGGUGGUUUCUUUAGAGGAAAGGACCCUUAGUGGGUCCACUCAGCCUGCCACUCACGGGGGCCUGUCCCCCCGGGAACGUGGCAGCUCCCAGGACCGCCUCCCCCAGGACGUGGGUGACCCGAUGGCUGGAAGGUAAAUGCUAUGCAGAAGUGCCAGGGCUUGGGGGGUUCUGAGCAGAGACCACCCGAAUCCUGGACACCCUGGCUGAUCUAGGGCACUGGGGCUUAAUAAGAGAUCUGGUCUCAACUCCGUCCCUGAAGAGAAGCGGAUCUCACUGCCAUGAGCCCCUCCGCCCGACUCUGGGGCUUAGGGAGCCUUUCUCCAAGGAGGCGCUUCCUUUUCUGAGUCUCAUUUUUCUUUUCUUUUGCCAUAUGGAGGUUCCCAGAUGAGGGGUUGAAUUGGAGCUGCAGCCGCCGGCCUACACCACAGCCACAGCAACACCGGAUCUGAGCUGAGUCUGCGAUCUAUACCACAGCUCACGGCAACGCCAGAUCCUUAACCCACGGAGCGAGGCCAGGGAUCGAACCCGCAUCCUCAUGGAUACUAGUGGGGUUUACUAACUGUUGAGCCACAGCGGGAACUCCGAGCCUCACCUUUCUCAUCUCUAAGAAGGAUGUUACUGUAGCCCCUGGGGGUUGAGAGCAGCUGGCAGCCUUGAGAAGCCUCUCCUGCAGUUUGACAGAGGUCCCCCAGAAGAGUCUGCUGGCUUCCAACUGGCCAGAAAACUGGCCCAGCUGCAUUCCAGACUCCCUGGCAUGGGGGGAAGAGGUCUCCGAGGGGGCCGAACCUGACUCAUCUCUAGGGAGAAGAUGGGCCGGCCAGGGCCCCCCAGGGAGAAGGUCUCUGCCACCCAGCUCUCCGGCGCCCCUGCUGCCCCCCACCGCGCCCCAGCCGAUGCCAUCCUUGGCCCUGAGGACUCGGACCUGGUGCCCUCCCUGACCUUGGCCGCAGCCCUGGUCCUGUUGUUCCUCCUGCUCUCCGCCUGGCUGGUGUGGGACAGGUCCCUCCAACCCUCCUGCUAACGUGGGUCCCGAGCAGGGGCUCGAGGGGGCAUGGCCCAGGGCCAGGAGUGGCAGGAGCGGAACCAGGGAUGGGGCUGGCUGGGCAUUGCAGCCAAACCCUGUGACCAGCUAGCCCUUGCCCAUGUGACCCCAGGGGACCCUGGGAGACCCUCGAGUCCCCCCCACUGGAGGGCAGGAACCUGGAUGAGCCCCGGACUGCGCUUCAGAAGGCCGCCGCUGCUGGAGCCUCACAGGAGCCACAGGAGGUGGGCUGAGAACCCGGGGCAGUGAAAGAGCAUGGCAGAGCUGCUUGAAAUCAUUUCUCCCCGUUUGCUGCCCGGUCCCCAUCCUAACUGCUUGCAAAUAAAGCCUGGUGACCCAGGGUAUUUGUGAACUGAGUCAAAAAUGAGAGUUCCAGCCCAGGCUCCACCCAGGCUGGGCCGUGUGACAGCAGACAAGGCCCCUCUCUCUUCUAAACCUCGGUUUUCCUGGUCAUUUUUUUUUUUUCUUUGUAGGGCCACACUCGCUGCAUGUAGAGGUUUCCAGGCUAGGGGUCUAAUUGGAGCUGCAGCUGCCGGCCUACGCCACAGCCACAGCCAUGCCAGAUCCAAGCUGCGUCUGCGACCUACACCACAGCUCAUGGCAAUGCUGGAGCCUUAACCCUCUAAGCGAGGCCAGGGAUUUAACCCGCAACCUUAUGGUUCCUUGUCAGAGUCAUCUCUGCUGCACACAGGAACUCCUCCCCAGUCAUUGAAGGAGGGUGGCAAUACCUCGUCCUGGGAAUUGUUGGGAGGGUCCACCCGUGGCUAGGCAUUCUGUGGUCACCUCUGCAGCAGUCUCCUUUUGCGUCCGCCCCUCUCCCUCUUUCCGGACCCAGAAAACCCUUAGGGGAAGCCCAGGACCCGGUCCCCCAACGCCCGUCCCGGUCCCCGCUGGCAGCCAGGGCUGAGGCCCGUCAGAGGUGGGAUGCCAUGGUCUUGACCGCCACCUGCUGGCUGAAUUUAGAAUCACAAUCUGCUGCGAGAGCCCUUUGGGGUUCCUUUCAGGGCCAUGGAGGUGAAAGGUGUUUUCUCUUUUUAAGGUGGGACUUUUGAGCCUGUGAAUACGCACAAACCUCAUUACCCAGAGAGAACCUCUUUCAUCAUUUGCUAUUUAUCUUCUUUCCCUCCACUUCUUUUUUCUUCUUUUGAAGUUAUUAUUGACGUAGAGUUGACUCGCAAGGUUGUGAUAACUUCUGCUGUAUAACAAAGUGAUUUGGUGAUACAUGGACACGCAUCCACUCUUUCUCAGGUUCUUUCCCCACAAAGGUUAUCACAGAAUCUCGGGUGGAGGUCCCUGCUGCGCGGCAGGUGCCCAUCGACCGUCCGUUCUGUGCACGAUGGUGUGUGGGGUAUGCUGAUCUCAGGUCCCCAGUCCCUCCCUCCGCUGCCGUGGUAACAACAGUUUGUUUUCAAAGUCUGAGGCUGUUUGUGUUUCUUAAAUAAGUUCAUUUGUAUCUUUUUUUUUUAGAUUCAACAUAUAAGUGACAUGAUGUUUGUCUCUGCCGAGUUUACUUCACUUAGUAUGAUAAUCUC